ensembl:lncRNA
CAGGAUUCUGUGGGAAGACAUCUGGUAGCUUCUGGAGCAGCUGCAGCAGCCAGGACACAUGAACUACAGUGGAGGUCUUGCUUUUAACUACUGGACCCAACACAAAGCCUCCCUUGCAGGCUUACCAGAGAAUGAAAACGAAAUGGCCACCUCCUGUAACAAGAAACACUUCUAGAAGAGGAAGGAGACAUCAAUACAUUCACAAAACCUUCAACUCGAAAUCUGUCUUGCCAAUAAGUGUGCAGGGAUAAAGACAGAAAAGUAGCACACCUGUCUCCAGAGGCUUUACUCAGCAGCUGAAAGCCACAGCCAAUCCUCAGAUGGAGCUCGGGAAGUCUUGUGGAAGAGUGGGGGGAGAGUGACAAGGAAACUGGUUGGGUUAAAACACUACAAGAAGUCCCCUACCGUCAGAUACCUUGGACCAUGGAGUAUGCUAGAGCCUGUGCAACCAACCCCAGAGCCGGGUUAGCUAUCUGCAGUUGGUCUCCAUGUGGGUCAUCUGACAAGUAGAUCCAGGACUGUCUCAGUCUGUGUUGCCUGCCAUUGGAUCUGUUCCCCAUACCCGGACUGCCUGAUUGUAAAUCUGUGGGGCAGAAUGUGCUCGGGCUACCUGGGACUAGAUGUCCCGGGGUGGUGUGGUACCCAGGGACUCUCCCCUUGUCCAAAGAGAAGGGAGAGCAUUAUGGUAGAAAGGAUUUGUAAGGUGGGACUGGGAAGGGAAGAGGGAGAGUGACUGGGAUCUGGAUGUAACCUGAAUAAAGAAGACAUUAUUGGAAG